UUUUUUGUUUUACCGGUCUUGAACUUGACUUCGGCAAUUUACACACCAUCGUCAGGACGGUUUUGUUCCACCUC
rnacentral:tRNA from 1 species